GAUGAACGCUAGCGGCAGGCCUAACACAUGCAAGUCGAGGGGCAGCACGAUUGAAGCUUGCUUCAAUUGGUGGCGACCGGCGCACGGGUGCGUAACGCGUAUGUAACCUACCUUAUACAGGGGCAUAACACUGAGAAAUUGGUACUAAUUCCCCAUAACACUUUAGAGGGCAUCCUUUAGAGUUAAAAGUUCCGGCGGUAUAAGAUGGACAUGCGUUGUAUUAGCUAGUUGGUGAGGUAACGGCUCACCAAGGCGACGAUACAUAGGGGGACUGAGAGGUUAACCCCCCACAUUGGUACUGAGACACGGACCAA
rnacentral:rRNA from 1 species